rnacentral:pre_miRNA from 1 species
CCCACACCCAUGUGUGUAUGACCCCAAAGGAUCAUCAUUAAAUUUGGCAUAAAUCUUUAGAAAAGUUAUCACAUGGGUUUGGGACUUGGACGUUUUUAGAGAUCUGUGCCAAAUUUAAUGGUGAUCUUUUGGGGUCCUACACACAUGGGUGUGGG